AGUAUCUGUAGUAAAUUAAUAAUAUGAGUUUUGUAGUCUUAAGUUCCACUAAUGUGUGGCAGUUACUA
rnacentral:tRNA from 1 species